rnacentral:lncRNA from 1 species
CUGUAUAGUGUUAAUCUCUCCAUUAUGACCAAGAAGUCUCAUUGGUUGUGCAAGAGGCCAUCUGGGAGUAGUAUUUGUGCUAUACCUUCGAUGAUAAAUGGCAAAGGGGGAUUUAUAUAGAUCAUUUUGAAGGUCAGUAUAAAAUAACCCCAGAGCUUCUGAGCGAAGCAUCCCCUUGUAAACUAUUGUUCGAUUGGAUAAAGAACAGAAAUAAAGCUCAUUUCCCCAACUUUCCGAGCUUACUUCUUUUUCAAUCAGCUUCCGGCAGAUGUAUAGUUCUCGUUCAAUGUCUUCAAUAUUUUCUUCCUUCGCAAUCUUAACAAAAACCUGCUGUAUAUUGGGCAUGGUCUCCUUUGCAUUAUAACCUACAACGGAAGUAUUUACAGGAACUGGCCUCCACCCAAGCACCUCAAGACCUUCUUGCUGAAAAAUAUUUACAAUAACUAAAGAAAAAACGAAAAUAACAUAUCAGAACACAAUUUGUUGUGUUAAAUUGAAUAUUCACUUUGAUGCAUUUAAAAGAGUGCAGUACACAAGCUAUGACUGCAGCAACAAAGGUUUGCAAACUGAAUCAACGAGAGAUGUAGAAAAACUCCCUUAGCCAAAUGAGUGAAUGUGUGCAUCUGAGAGUGUGGGUGUGGGUAGAUAGAGAGAGAGAACAUCGAACAGCAAUUAAGUUGUUCACAAACAUAUAAACAUGCUGAUCUUAGUAAAACCAUAUAAGACAGACAUCAUGCAUGCAUAGAUAAAUCAGGCCUUUCAAAAUAAGAACAAUUAUUACCUUUCUUGGCCUUAUUCAUAAGUUCUACAUCUUUGGGUAGGAAAACCAUUCCAACGCCAGUGUGCAACUUAUCAAAGGAUGGAAUCCCUUGCUUGUUUGCCCAAUUGUCAAAUAGAUCCCAUGGAACUGCAGUCAUAACCCCAGAACCAUCACCAGAAUCAUUAUCUGCACCACAGCCCCCGCGAUGUUCCAUACAGCUUAAAGCAUUUAAAGCAUCCUUGAGAAUCUUAUAUGAUGCUUUAUUUUCCAAAUUCGCAAUGAAUCCAACACCGCAGGCCCCUCUUUCUGAUAGUAUAUCCUCCAAAUUCGCAACCUGACCAACAAACGCAGCUAGAAUCAUUAAACAUUUUGUCAUGCAAAUUACAAACCACGUGGGUUUCUAGUUGUCACUCAACAGCUAUAAUUUUUUAAAUACUAGUGAAUAGAGCCUUGGAGCCCAGGUCUUGAGAUUCCAAGGACAGCAGCUACUUAGGAAGGGAGACACUAUGUCCCCUUUCUUGCUCACCUAGAUGAUUGUUGUUCUUAAUUGUUUACUCAAACAAGAUGCUGACCUCUCAGAGCUCUAGUUUUGGGAUACUGUUCUAUUCUCAACAAACACACAUUUGAAAUGACCUCCUGGUUAAAAGCUAAUCUAGCAAAGUUAGUCGUUUGGCACUUAGGGGAGCUUGUAUAAUAAAAUUCAAUUCCCAUACAUUGCUGCCUUGUUUCCAAGUUUCUCGGAGUCCUCCAAGAUUUUACAGAACAAUCUUUCUUUUAUUACAACAAAAACAAUCUGCAGCCACAAUUGUGACUACUGCAUCAAGUUUCUUUUAUAACCAAGUUUCUCGGAGUCCUCCAAGAUUUUUCGCAAUAUCACGAAUAGCAAAGCUACCACAAUUUAAAAGCAUAGAAUCCAAGGAUCUUGUAUCGUUUCAGUUUACAUAGUCUAUAAAUUCUCCCACAACCAUUUCGUCCUCGUUCAAAUUUGGAUUUUCACUUCAAAAAAAAACUCUAGUCAGCUCAAUUCUCUAUAAAUUAGAAAAUAUUCAUGUCCUCGUACGAUUUUUCAAUGAUGUUUUAAAGCAAUUUUUCUGUAGAAAACGCUGUUUUAUGCCAAGACUUAAGCAAAGUCUUGAAGUUGACUUGAUGAAGUAUCGUCUAAAACCAAAUCCACGCCUUCAAUUCAAUCAAACGAAACAUUUCGAAAACACAAUAAUCAAAGAACCAAAAAAAUCGUCAUGCAAAAAUAGCAACGGAUGAUGAACACGGACCUGUGGUUUUAAAUCGGAAGUUGAAGAAGAAGGAGGAGGAGGAGCGGGAUUGAGCUGCUUAUCAAGUUCAAGAACAGAUUUGACGGGGCUACGACGGAGGCUAGCUGGAGAAACAAACGGCGUCAAUCUGCGAUUGUACCUCUUUGAUUUGCGGCGGAAAGGCGCAAAGUCAACGAGCAACUGACGGUUACCGAUCGGAGUGAAUGUAUCGGAGAGACGCAACACUUGAGAAACCGACGACACCGUGUGCAGCGCCAUCGCGAGAGUGAGAGAGAAAGUGUGUGGUAAGUGUUUGAAUAAAUGAUUGUGUGAGUGAGAAUGAAGUAAUGAAGAUAAAAAGAAAAAGAGAGAGAGGUCACAAAAUGCUUAGCUCACACACACCACCAACUUCUCAUUCCUUUCCAUCUUGGUUUGUUAAAUGCUAAAUGAGCACACUCUCUAUCACUGAGUUUUUUUUCUCUGUGGUGUGGUCUACGCUAACAC